CCUACUAUAACCUACCCUAUGACUCCCUCCCCCCGACUAUAGCUGCUACAGUGCCAAUUCUUCGCUGACACAACGGUUCCCACUCCUUCGUAGCCUCACCCUCUGUCCGGUCGGCGUCGUCUCUCUCCCCUUGAUGAAGGGGACGCUAUACACAUCUGCUCAUCUCCCAUUCGUGGCUCUUUCUAGAAAAGGCUCAUGAAGGCGAGGCAAAAGUCGAUGGCGCACAUCUCCCGGUGAUCGGAGUGGUCUUCAUCUCGUCGUCUACACGCAAGAGGAUAUAUGGAUCUGAUUCAUUUGCUUUCCUCGCCCAGCGGUGUCGUCGUGACGGAAGAAGACAACAAAGGUCGCCGUCGAGUGAGGCCGUGAUGGCCCACAUCUCCUAUUCGUGCUUCUCCAACGAGGUAUCAAGCAAACUCUGUCGUACCUGCACCGGCAUGCAGCCAUUAGAAGAGAUGCUUCCUCUUCCCCAAGACCUAUUCGACUUCAUGUAUGGUUCCGGCAUAAUUUCAUAGAUUUGUAGGUUCUUAGUGAUUUCCAUGCAUCCUGACGUCUCCUCCCUCCCCUCCCUCCUCCCACGAGCGGCAACCAAAGGGGCCCACCGCUUACCCUCACACCAUGGUGGCUCCAACGGUCACCGACGGGAGGCGCUCGCCCACCAUCCUUUUGGCAUCUUCCUCGACAUGGAUCCAGCGCCUCCAUUCCGAUGUCUUCCUCAAAUGCUCAGAUCCGCCCCCUCCACCGCCUCUAGCCUCACACCGCGCUUUGACAGCUCUCCCGCCUCGGAUCCAGACACCCCGCCACCAAGCCUAUGUACUGUUUCUCGGUAUAUUGUAAUUGGGUCAGCCUUGAUGUGAUUCGCUAACCCUGUGAAAACUAUGCAUAUCUAGAAAUUGAAGAGGCAGCUAAGAAGAGGUUGAUCUGCAUGUGGCGUUGGCGGAUGAUCUAUUUUCGUUCGCUUGCAAUAAAGGAAUUGGUUUGCUUAUAUUUUUCUCUCAUUUCCAGCAUGAAAUUUGCUACUAUGCGAUGUCACUGGGGAACAUCUUUUCUAUCUUCCUUUUGUUCUGGGAUGUAUGACUUUUCCCUAUUCAGAAUGUUUUUAUCAUUCUGGGAUGUAGGCAGUAUCUGCUCAUAUUCUCUUGUACAUUUUUGCUAUUGCUUGAUACUUGAUAGACCAUUUCACUACAGUUUGUUAGGACAACUCAACUGUUUUAGGCAUGUGCAAGGAAAGUAAUGGAGAUGCUAACUGCAUGUUCUGAUGCAUUGAUGGAUUAGUCAUUUAUCCUCCACCCUGUGUGAUAUAUGCCUUUAUAAUUCCACUCGUUAUGUGCUACUUUUUCAUCCUUCAAAUUUGGCAACAACAAAUGCUUCUCGGUCCUCACUGCGUAGAUAGUGGUACUGCAGAUUGGUAGAGCAUCGGUUAAUCUAGCUAGGGAAUAUUUAUUCCACAUUUAUGACCUGUCAUUUUCCCAAAAGAUUAAAUUGUUAUCGGGAAGUUGGCUAUAUAUUUCUUCUCUGUUAUCUUAAAUAUCAUGGGCUUCUCAUACAAAUCAACUGUGUAUUUUCCUCUCCUCUUCCUUGUGUUUUAUCCUACCUUGCUCUAAGCUUCACCAUACACUGAAUUCUCUUGAGUCUUAACCAGAAUUGUUUCAUUAUUCCAUAUGCUGGCGAUGCAGCGGUAGGCUCGUUUAUAAUAGGCAGAACCUCCAUCCUGUAAGUAUUGUGACACCAACAACGAACUCAAAUAGGUCCAUCUCUAAUGAUGUACUCACCAUGUGUAAUUCAUUAUCCAAAAGUAGUUCGUGACAUGCAAUUUUAUUUUGUUUCCAUCACUAUUCACUGGACCUUUUCAUUUACCUCAUGUUUUAUGGGUGAUUUGGAUAAACAUGAGUAUAUCCUUCAGGUUUACAUAUUUUCUUAGAAAACAAUGACAUAGUCAUUAGAGUGAGGGAAAAUAUGUUGCAUAUUUAUAGCUUCUAAAACCAUUUUUAAAUGUGUGAACAUGAUGUCAUGCUAUUUCCUGAAAUUGUUUAUCUUUACAUAUUUAUAGCUACUAAUAGCAUUUUUAAAUAUGCGAACUCGGAUGUCAUGUUAUUUCCUAAAAUUGUUUGCCUUUAUGUAACUACCUCGCCUUCUGUUUCCUGAAAAACUAAAACAAUUCAAAUUGGUUUCAGACAAUUUUUGGCUUAGUUUGACUGUAUUUGCUUCCAUUAGGGAAAAACCAUCAUAAUGAUUGUGAUGUGGCUUAAUGAUUUUCCUCCAAAUUGUCGUAGCUGAUGAAUCACAUUUUAUGAAGAAUGGACAAGCAAAUAAACGGUUGCUUCACUUCCUAUUUUGCAGGUUUGGUGCUUCUUAUGAGGAAAACACAUUUUCUUUGUGAGUAUAAAUAUUAUAUGCCAAAUUCUUUUCGAAGAGAACACACUAAAUUCUAGUUAAUGAUUACCUUCUCAUCUUAGAUAAACACCUUCUAAUGUCUAUGCAUUGUUUUUUGAUUCAUGAACUUUUUAUGUUCUUUCUUGUAGCUUUGAAGGCCGGUAUUUGAGGUCAUUUCAUGCAACUAAUGAUUCUGGUGAAGAUUGUCCAACCUUAGGAUAUAACAUGCAUCAAUUAGACGUAUCUAUCAUGAUCCUUUCAUAGUUUAACGAGUAUUAUGUUUUUCUGUAAAUCAUAGAAAUGUUUAUUUUGUUAACGCAUAGAAAAUCAAUGACUAAGAUGUAGAGUUUGUAUGAAAGUCAAAAUGGAGAUCGAUGAUUUACGCUAAAACUUGUACUCAUUUACGCUGUUGUGGUUCAUGUUUUAUGUUGAAAUCAGUUUGAGAUAGAUCCCGUGCACACUCGGAUGCGCACAAUUUUUAAGGCAUA
rnacentral:lncRNA from 1 species